GAUGUGCAUUGUCGGAGGAAGUGUGUCACUGGGGAUAGGCUUUGAGGUUUCAGAAGCUCAGGUCAGGCCUAGUGGCACUCACUCUUCCUGUUGCCUGCAGAUCCU
ensembl:miRNA Mir1970 microRNA 1970